rnacentral:snRNA from 1 species
CACACUUCUCAGCCCUGGGCUAAGAUCAAGUGCAUCAUCUCUUCUUACCACUUUAAUAUCUGAUACAUCCUCAGCUUGAAGAUUUUAUAUUAAAUGGAUUUGGAGGGCAGGGGAAGGAGUAUCAGCUUGCUCCAUCCACUCCAUGCAUCAACUCAAAACUGCAGUGCUUUCAGGUACUCUGGCUGCAUCGUGG